rnacentral:rRNA from 1 species
UGGCGGAAUGCUUUACACAUGCAAGUCGAACGGUAGAGGGGGCAACCCUUGAGAGUGGCGAACGGGUGAGUAAUAUAUCGGAACGUGCCCAGUCGUGGGGAUAACGUAGCGAAAGUUACGCUAAUACCGCAUACGAUCUAAGGAUGAAAGCGGGGGACUCGCAAGAGCCUCGCGCGAUUGGAGCGGCCGAUAUCAGAUUAGGUAGUUGGUGGGGUAAAGGCUCACCAAGCCAACGAUCUGUAGCUGGUCUGAGAGGACGACCAGCCACACUGGAACUGAGACACGGUCCAGACUCCUACGGGAGGCAGCAGUGGGGAAUUUUGGACAAUGGACGCAAGUCUGAUCCAGCCAUUCCGCGUGCAGGAUGAAGGCCCUCGGGUUGUAAACUGCUUUUGUACGGAACGAAAAGGUUUCUAUUAAUACUAGGAGCUCAUGACGGUACCGUAAGAAUAAGCACCGGCUAACUACGUG